rnacentral:rRNA from 1 species
CCUACGGGAGGCAGCAGUGGGGAAUAUUGGGCAAUGGGCGCAAGCCUGACCCAGCAAUGCCGCGUGAAGGAAGAAGGCUUUCGGGUUGUAAACUUCUUUGACAGGGGAAGAGCAGAAGACGAUACACUGAAAAAAAGACACGGCUAACUACGUGCCAGCAGCCGCGGUAAUACGGAGGAUUCAAGCGGUAUCCGGCUUUGUUGGGUUUAAAGGGUGCGUGGGCGGUGGGAUAAGUUAGAGGUGAAAUCCCGAGGUUCAACUUAGGCAUAGCCGCUGAUACUGUUCGGCUAGAGAGUAGUUGCGGUAUGCGGAAUGUAUGGUGUAGCGGUGAAAUGCUUAGAGAUCAGGCAGAACACCGAUUGCGAAGGCAGCUUACCGAGCUACUACUGACGUUGAGGCACGAAAGCGUGGGUAGCAAACAGGAUUAGAUACCCCUGUAGUC